UUUGCAUGAUAAGUUUAUGCCUUGAGCGGUAUAAAGGCUGACGUUAUAUGACAGUUCGAAUGGAACCAAAUUUAAAACGAUAAUAGAAUGGGAGUUAUGUUUCCUUAGUUUUUAUUAUUCGUAGAUAU